CGCGAAGACCAAAAGGUCAUUAAGGAUGCCGUCUAAUAAAUUAAUUCGCGGCUCACGUCUGUUGAAAAGGCCCUUGCCGAAAAGAUGCCGGAAAAAACUGAGGUUCAGGAAACUGAGGUUGGCGUGAAUGCAAAGUGCUGACGGCUAGAACCCAGAAGUCCCUUGGCGGCAUCACCAGUGACAUAGAGGAUGAAGAGUAUUUGGAGCUUUCUUCCAAAAUACCCAUGUCAUCGACAGAGCAACUACUGUCCGUUUAAACGCUGUUAAAGGUGAAGUGUUGAUGCAAUGAUGCGGCUACUGGUAAAGGCAAAGGACUAUAAAGGUAGUGUGGACGGUGGCCUUCGUUCGUUGUUUUUCGACGAAUUAAUGACGAAGUACAAUUUGGAGGGACGUAGGGGAAAUUGGCGCUUUUGAAAUUAAAGUGCAUUGAUAUAAUUUUAUAAAAUUACACAUACUAAAUUUAUCAUAGCAUUGCAAAUAUUUUUUCUUGAAGGAGCAGUUCAUUUUAGAUUUAACACAUUUUAUAGCGUUAAGUCAUAA